GGGGGUGAAUGUGUCCCGGUGGAUGCCCCGGUCUUCAAAACUGGUGGCAGCCUGCUCGGCAGGCUGCGGUGAGUUCGACUCUCAUUCUCCCCCG
rnacentral:tRNA from 1 species